UGGGGAAUAUUGCGCAAUGGGGGAAACCCUGACGCAGCGACGCCGCGUGCGGGAUGAAGGCCUUCGGGUUGUAAACCGCUUUUGAUUGGGAGCAAGCUUUCGGGUGAGUGUACCUUUCGAAUAAGCGCCGGCUAACUACGUGCCAGCAGCCGCGGUAAUACGUAUGGGGCGAGCGUUGUCCGGAAUUAUUGGGCGUAAAGGGUACGUAGGUGGUUUUUUAAGUCAGGUGUCAAAGCGUGGAGCUUAACUCCAUUAAGCACUUGAAACUGAAAGACUUGAGUGAAGGAGAGGAAAGUGGAAUUCCUAGUGUAGCGGUGAAAUGCGUAGAUAUUAGGAGGAAUACCGGUGGCGAAGGCGACUUUCUGGACUUUUACUGACGCUCAGGUACGAAAGCGUGGGGAGCAAACAGG
rnacentral:rRNA from 1 species